UUCGAUCCACUCACCGCCUCGACUUCUUCUUCUUCGAAAUUCGGCCACAUCUUCACAAGCCUCGGCACGUUCGAUUCACUCACCGCCUCGACUUCUUCGUCCACCUUUUCAAUCGUAGCAACACCAUAACAGCAAACUUCACUAUUAAUCCGAACACGGUAACACUCUCAACUCCAACCAUGAUAAAAAUAUCUAUACUUGGACUUGGGGGACUACUAUGUAGGGUACAAAAAAUUCUUUCAAUUUUUACCCCACACACUCGCUUCACCACAAUAAAAGUCCACGCAUUACAUAAAUGACCAUACUUGGACUUUGGG
rnacentral:lncRNA from 1 species